GACUCGUUGCACAUAAUUGACGGGAAAGAUUCCAACAGCAUUUUUGCAAGAACCUUUCCACCAAUCUUUAUACACGCUUUCCAGGACUAAUAUAAUAUCUCCCUUUUUAAAUGAAAGUUCGCCCUGCUCGGUUGCCGCGAAAUCAUAAAGCGCUCGAACGCGAGAAACUGUCGAAGCAGGAGAAGUAGCUAAGUUUGAUUCCUGCCGUUGGUUCGUU